GGUUGUAGUUGUUAGGGUUAGGGUUUAGGUUUAGGGUUAGGGUUGUGGUUGUAGUUGUAGUUGUGGUUGUGGUUGAGGUUAGGGUUAGGGGUUAGGGUUAGGGUUAGGUUGUGGUUGUGGUUGUAGUUGUGGUUGAGGUUUAGGGUUAGGGUUAGGGUUGUGGUUGUAGUUGUAGUUGAGGUUUAGGGUUAGGGUUAGGGUUGAACUAGGUAGUAGGGUUGAGGUUUAGGGUUAGGGUUAGGGUUUAGGUUUAGGGUUUGGGUUAGGGUUGUGGUUGGAGUUGUAGUUGUGGUUGAGGGUUAGGGUUAGGGUUAGGGUUGUGGUUGAGGUUUAGGGUUAGGGUUAGGGUUGUGGUUUAGGUUUAGGGUUAGGGUUGUUGUGGUUGUGGUUGUGGUUGAGGUUUAGGGUUAGGGUUAGGGUUGUGGUUGUAGUUGUGGUUGAGGGUUAGGGUUAGGGUUAGGGUUAGGGUUAGGGUUAGGGUUGUGGUUAUAGUUGUAGUUUAGUUGUGGUUGAGGUUGAGGGUUAGGGUUAGGGUUAGGGUUGAGGCUAGGGUUAGUGAUGUGGUUGAGGCUAGGGUUAGGGUUAGGGUUGAGGCUAGGGUCAGGAUUAGGGUUGAGGGUUAGGGUUAGGGUUGAGGCUAGAGUUAGGUUUAGGGUUGAGGCUAGGGUUAGUGAUGUGGUUGAGGCUAGGGUUAGGAUUAGGGUUAGGGUUAGGGUUAGGGUUAGGGUUGAGGCUAGGGUUAGGGUUAGGGUUGAGGCUAGGGUUAGAGUUAGGGUUGCGGCUAGGGUUAGUGAUGUGGUUGAGGCUAGGGUUAGGGUUGGGGAUAGGGUUAGGGUUAGGGUUGAGGCUAGGGUUAGGGUUGAGGCUAGGGUUAGUGAUGUGGUUGAGGCUAGGGUUAGGGUUAGGGUUAGGGUUGAGGCUAGGGCUAGGGCUAGGGUUAGGGUUGGGGUUAGGGUUAGGGUUGAGGCUAGGGUUAGGGUUGAGACUAGGGUUAGGUUUGUGGUUGAGGCUAGGGUUAGGUUUGUGGUGGAGGCUAGGGUUAGGGUUAGGGUUGUGGUUUAGGCUAGGGUUAGGGUUGUGGUUGUGGUUGUAGUUGUGGUUUAGGGUUCGGGUUAGGGUUGUGGUUGUGGUUGUAGUUAGGGUUGAGGGUUAGAGGGUUAGGGUUAGGGUUAGGGUUAGGGUUAGGGUGGU
ensembl:lncRNA